AAUAGAUACCCCGGUAGUCCACGCCGUAAACGAUGAGUGCUAAGUGUUAGGGGGUUUCCGCCCCUUAGUGCUGCAGCUAACGCAUUAAGCACUCCGCCUGGGGAGUACGGUCGCAAGACUGAAACUCAACGGAAUUGACGGGGGCCCGCACAAGCGGUGGAGCAUGUGGUUUAAUUCGAAGCAACGCGAAGAACCUUACCAGGUCUUGACAUCCCACUGACCGCUAUGGAGACAUAGUUUUCCCUUCGGGGACAGUGGUGACAGGUGGUGCAUGGUUGUCGUCAGCUCGUGUCGUGAGAUGUUGGGUUAAGUCCCGCAACGAGCGCAACCCUUGAUCUUAGUUGCCAUCAUUUAGUUGGGCACUCUAAGGUGACUGCCGGUGACAAACCGGAGGAAGGUGGGGAUGACGUCAAAUCAUCAUGCCCCUUAUGACCUGGGCUACACACGUGCUACAAUGGACGGUACAAACGGUUGCCAACCCGCGAGGGGGAGCUAAUCCGAUAAAACCGUUCUCAGUUCGGAUUGUAGGCUGCAACUCGCCUAC
rnacentral:rRNA from 1 species